CCUACGGGAGGCAGCAGUGGGGGAUAUUGCACAAUGGGGGAAACCCUGAUGCAGCGACGCCGCGUGUGGGAAGACGGUCCUCUGGAUUGUAAACCACUGUCCCCAGGGACGAAGAUGACGUAACCUGGGGAGGAAGCUCCGGCAAACUACGUGCCAGCAGCCGCGGUAAUAGGCAGGGAGCGAGCGUUGUCGGGAAUUACUGGGUGUAAAGGGAGCGGAGGGGGGCCAGCAAGUUGGGGGUAAAAUCUACCGGCUCAACCUGUAGCCGCAUUCAAUACUGCAGUUCUAGAGUGCAGUAGAGGCAGGCGGAAUUCCUAGUGUAGCGGUGAAAUGCGUAGAUAUUAGGAGGAACACCGGUGGCGAAGGCGGCCUACUGGGCUUUUACUGACGCUGAGGCUCGAAAGUGUGGGGAGCAAACAGGAUUAGAUACCCGGGUAGUC
rnacentral:rRNA from 1 species